rnacentral:rRNA from 1 species
AAAGCGAAUAGUGAAAUCUGGUGGCUCAACCAUUCAGGCUAUUAUUCGAACUCACUGACUCGAGAACAGCAGAGGUAACUGGAAUUUCUGAAGUAGGGGUAAUAUCCGUAGAUAUCAGAAGGAACACCAAUGGCGUAGGCAGGUUACUGGGCUGUUUCUGACACUGAGGCACGAAAGCGUGGGAGCGAACCGGAUUAGAUACCCGGGUAGUCCACGCCGUAAACGAUGGAUACUA